rnacentral:rRNA from 1 species
UGGGGAAUAUUGCACAAUGGGCGAAAGCCUGAUGCAGCAACGCCGCGUGAGUGAUGAAGGUCUUCGGAUUGUAAAGCUCUGUCUUUUGGGACGAUAAUGACGGUACCAAAGGAGGAAGCCACGGCUAACUACGUGCCAGCAGCCGCGGUAAUACGUAGGUGGCGAGCGUUGUCCGGAUUUACUGGGCGUAAAGGGUGCGUAGGCGGAUGUUUAAGUGAGAUGUGAAAUACCCGGGCUUAACUUGGGUGCUGCAUUUCAAACUGGAUAUCUAGAGUGCAGGAGAGGAGAAUGGAAUUCCUAGUGUAGCGGUGAAACGCGUAGAGAUUAGGAAGAACACCAGUGGCGAAGGCGAUUCUCUGGACUGUAACUGACGCUGAGGCACGAAAGCGUGGGUAGCAAACAGGAUUAGAUACCCUGGUAGUCCACGCCGUAAACGAUGAGUACUAGGUGUAGGAGGUAUCGACCCCUUCUGUGCCGCAGUAAACACAUUAAGUACUCCGCCUGGGAAGUACGAUCGCAAGA